AUUGAACGCUGGCGGCAGGCCUAACACAUGCAAGUCGAGCGGAUGAAGGGAGCUUGCUCCUGGAUUCAGCGGCGGACGGGUGAGUAAUGCCUAGGAAUCUGCCUGGUAGGGGGGGAUAACGUCCGGAAACGGGCGCUAAUACCGCAUACGUCCUGAGGGAGAAAGUGGGGGAUCUUCGGACCUCACGCUAUCAGAUGAGCCUAGGUCGGAUUAGCUAGUUGGUGGGGUAAAGGCCUACCAAGGCGACGAUCCGUAACUGGUCUGAGAGGAUGAUCAGUCACACUGGAACUGAGACACGGUCCAGACUCCUACGGGAGGCAGCAGUGGGGAAUAUUGGACAAUGGGCGAAAGCCUGAUCCAGCCAUGCCGCGUGUGUGAAGAAGGUCUUCGGAUUGUAAAGCACUUUAAGUUGGGAGGAAGGGCAGUAAGUUAAUACCUUGCUGUUUUGACGUUACCAACAGAAUAAGCACCGGCUAACUUCGUGCCAGCAGCCGCGGUAAUACGGAGGGUGCAAGCGUUAAUCGGAAUUACUGGGCGUAAAGCGCGCGUAGGUGGUUCAGCAAGUUGGAUGUGAAAUCCCCGGGCUCAACCUGGGAACUGCAUCCAAAACUACUGAGCUAGAGUACGGUAGAGGGUGGUGGAAUUUCCUGUGUAGCGGUGAAAUGCGUAGAUAUAGGAAGGAACACCAGUGGCGAAGGCGACCAUCUGGACUGAUACUGACACUGAGGUGCGAAAGCGUGGGGAGCAAACAGG
rnacentral:rRNA from 1 species